ensembl:lncRNA
GUGGGCGUUAGGUGUCUAUUUCUGUCUUUUAUUGUGUGUGUGUUAGGUGUGUCUAUUUCUGUCUUUUAUUGUGUGGGCGUUAGGUGUCUAUUUCUGUCUUUUAUUGUGUGGGUGUUAGGUGUCUAUUUCUGUCUUUUAUUGUGUGGGUGUUAGGUGUCUGUUUCUGUCUUUUAUUGUGUGGGCGUUAGGUGUCUGUUUCUGUCUUUUAUUGUGUGUGGGCGUUAGGUGUCUGUUUCUGUCUUUUAUUGUGUGGGCGUUAGGUGUCUGUUUCUGUCUUUUAUUGUGUGGGUGUUAGGUGUCUGUUUCUGUCUUUUAUUGUGUGUGGGC